rnacentral:lncRNA from 1 species
ACAUCCUCUCAGGGAUAACAAAGAACAGAAAAUUCCAAAAUGUGCAAAACAGGUUAUUGUUCAAGAUCUGGUGUGUUUUAAAGGUGGAUUACAGUGAGGAGUUAGCUUGUGGUUCAUCCUCCUGGGGACUACUUUUGGGCUGAAGAUAUGGACCUUCUACCAAAUUCUUCUUCAUAUUAUCCACCUCCACCCCCUCCAACUCUUUCAACUCAACCCCAGCUCAAGAUCUCUCUCACAUGGAAGGCCUCAUACCGCUUGUUUACAGAGUCAUACUUCAGUUCAGGGCUGCCAGGCAGCCUCCUAUGGCAGAGACAUGGCUCAACGGAUCACCUCCAAAUCCAUAUGUGAGACUUCCAGGCGAUUCAGGACGCUUCCAACAGCCAGAUAUUAAACCUUUCAGGUCCUUUGGUCCUUCCUCCACCUCCUCCUUGGUUGUGUCAACAGGGAUCCAAUCCCCUCUUAUUUCCUGAUGAAAAUGGUGAAAUGGGUGUUCGACACCAUCAAGUUGUUAUACAUAUUUCUUUUUCUUCUUUUUCUCAGUUAUUAUCAAUAAGGGUGUGAGCUGCAAAAGGAGCAUCACAAACUCAGAGUGGCUAGCGCAUGAGAAUGUUGAAACCACAUAGAUGAUGAAAGUGUGUUAAGAGGCAUAAAUCAUGAUGGGAUGCCCAGAAACAAGUUUUGGGCAAAAGGAGACCAGCCACCAAUUGCCAAAAUGUAGAGAAAUGGGUGAUUGAGUGAAGCUGAGCACCCAGCUCUUUGAAUUUAGUGUGUGAAAAUGUGUUCUUGAUCGGAAGUCUAGGAGCUCCCUGAUAUUUAAUCUUUGUAUAAGUCACAUAAUGUAAAUCAAACUUGCCAGCAUAUAAUCAACCUCACUUCCAUCCAUAAAAUAGCAUUACUGCACUUUGCAGUUAUAGUAGCAGGGCAUUCUCCAUUUGUUGCUAACCUUACAGUGAUA